rnacentral:rRNA from 1 species
GGUUCUUUGAAUGUAAAAUGAAGAAUCUAACCUGCCCAAUGAUAAUUAAAUGGCCGCGGUAUUUUGACCGUGCGAAGGUAGCAUAAUCAUUAGUCUUUUAAUUGUGGACUGGAAUGAAUGGUUGGACGAGAUAACAGCUUUUUUAUUCUUAAACGUCUAAUUUUACUUUUUAGUGAAGAGGCUAAAAUGAGACCAAAAGACAAGAAGACCCUAUCAAGUUUUAUUAUAUUAUGAGGAAGAAUGAGAAGAAAUUAUAACUUGAAAAUAAUUUUACUGGGGCGGUGAAUUAUAACAAGUUGAUGAUCCAAAAUUUUUGAUUGUCUGAUUAAAUUACUGUAGGGAUAACAGCGUAAUCUUACUUGAGAGUUCAUAUCGACAGUAAGGGUUGCGACCUCGAUGUUGGAUUAGAAUACCUUUUUGGAGCAGAAUCUAAAAAAGGUGGUCUGUUCGACCAUUAAAAUUCUACA